rnacentral:rRNA from 1 species
UACGAAGGGGGCGAGCGUUGUUCGGAAUCACUGGGCGUAAAGGGCGCGUAGGCGGCCCUCUUAGUCGCGUGUGAAAGCCCCGGGCUCAACCUGGGAACGGCGCGCGAAACGGGAGGGCUGGAGUUCGGGAGAGGAGAGUGGAAUUCCCAGUGUAGAGGUGAAAUUCGUAGAUAUUGGGAAGAACACCGGUGGCGAAGGCGGCUCUCUGGACCGAGACUGACGCUGAGGCACGAAGGCCAGGGGAGCAAACGGG